CCCUUAGAUGUUCUGGGCCGCACGCGCGCUACACUGAUGCAUUCAACGAGCCUAUCCUUGACCGACAGGUCCGGGUAAUCUUUGAAUCUGCAUCGUGACGGGGAUAGAUUAUUGCAAUUAUUAAUCUUCAACGAGAAAUGCCUAGUAGGCGCAAGUCAUCAGCUUGCGUUGAUUACGUCCCUGCCCUUUGUACACACCGCCCGUCGCUCCUACCGAUUGGGUGUGCUGGUGAAAUGUUCGGAUCGGCCGUUUGUCGCGGUUUCCGCGUCAUGUGGCUGAGAAGUUCAUUAAACCCUCCCACCUAGAGGAAGGAGAAGUCGUAACA
rnacentral:rRNA from 1 species